rnacentral:rRNA from 1 species
AUUGAACGCUGGCGGCAGGCUUAACACAUGCAAGUCGAGCGGGGGAAGGUAGCUUGCUACUGGACCUAGCGGCGGACGGGUGAGUAAUGCUUAGGAAUCUGCCUAUUAGUGGGGGACAACAUCUCGAAAGGGAUGCUAAUACCGCAUACGUCCUACGGGAGAAAGCAGGGGAUCUUCGGACCUUGCGCUAAUAGAUGAGCCUAAGUCGGAUUAGCUAGUUGGUGGGGUAAAGGCCUACCAAGGCGACGAUCUGUAGCGGGUCUGAGAGGAUGAUCCGCCACACUGGGACUGAGACACGGCCCAGACUCCUACGGGAGGCAGCAGUGGGGAAUAUUGGACAAUGGGGGGAACCCUGAUCCAGCCAUGCCGCGUGUGUGAAGAAGGCCUUAUGGUUGUAAAGCACUUUAAGCGA